UUUUGCAUAAUGAGCCUGCGAGUUGUGGUGUCUGGCAAGGUUAAGCAAACGCGAAGCCGUAGCGAAAGCGAGUCUGAAUAGGGCGCUUAGUCAGAUGCUGCAGACCCGAAACGAAGUGAUCUAUCCAUGAGCAAGUUGAAGCUAGUGUAAGAACUAGUGGAGGACUGAACCCAUAGGCGUUGAAAAGCCCCGGGAUGACUUGUGGAUAGGGGUGAAAGGCCAAUCAAACUUCGUGAUAGCUGGUUCUCUCCGAAAUAUAUUUAGGUAUAGCGUUGUGUCGUAAUAUAAGGGGGUAGAGCACUGAAUGGGCUAGGGCAUACACCAAUGUACCAAACCCUAUCAAACUCCGAAUACCUUAUAUGUAAUCACAGCAGUCAGGCGGCGAGUGAUAAAAUCCGUCGUCAAGAGGGAAACAACCCAGACUACCAGCUAAGGUCCCUAAAUCUUACUUAAGUGGAAAACGAUGUGAAGUUACUUAAACAACCAGGAGGUUGGCUUAGAAGCAGCCAUCCUUUAAAGAAAGCGUAAUAGCUCACUGGUCUAGUGAUUUUGCGCGGAAAAUAUAACGGGGCUAAAGUAAGUACCGAAGCUGUAGACUUGCACACAACUUAGAUUAUUUAAGUUUAGAAUAUGAGAAACUAAGUUAUAUGUUUAGUUAUAUUUUUACUGAUUUUUAUAGAGUAAAGAUAGAAAUAAAACUUAGUAAAAUCAGUAAAAAUAUUCUUAGACUAAAGUUAAGUAGUUUAAGUUGUGUGCAAGUGGUAGGAGAGCGUUCUAUUUGCGUCGAAGGUAUACCGGUAAGGAGUGCUGGAGCGAAUAGAAGUGAGCAUGCAGGCAUGAGUAGCGAUAAUUAAUGUGAGAAUCAUUAACGCCGUAAACCCAAGGUUUCCUACGCGAUGCUCGUCAUCGUAGGGUUAGUCGGGUCCUAAGUCGAGUCCGAAAGGGGUAGACGAUGGCAAAUUGGUUAAUAUUCCAAUACCAACAUUAGUGUGCGAUGGAAGGACGCUUAGGGCUAAGGGGGCUAGCGGAUGGAAGUGCUAGUCUAAGGUCGUAGGAGGUUAUACAGGCAAAUCCGUAUAACAAUACUCCGAGAACUGAAAGGCUUUUUGAAGUCUUCGGAUGGAUAGAAGAACCCCUGAUGCCGUCGAGCCAAGAAAAGUUUCUAAGUUUAGCUAAUGUUGCCCGUACCGUAAACCGACACAGGUGGGUGGGAUGAGUAUUCUAAGGCGCGUGGAAGAACUCUCUUUAAGGAACUCUGCAAAAUAGCACCGUAUCUUCGGUAUAAGGUGUGGUUCGCUUCGUAUUAGGAUUUACUCCGAAAGCGAAGAAACUUACAACAAAGAGUCCCUCCCGACUGUUUACCAAAAACACAGCACUCUGCUAACUCGUAAGAGGAUGUAUAGGGUGUGACGCCUGCCCGGUGCUCGAAGGUUAAUUGAUGGGGUUAGCAUUAGCGAAGCUCUUGAUCGAAGCCCGAGUAAACGGCGGCCGUAACUAUAACGGUCCUAAGGUAGCGAAAUUCCUUGUCGGUUAAAUACCGACCUGCAUGAAUGGCGUAACGAGAUGGGAGCUGUCUCAAAGAGGGAUCCAGUGAAAUUGUAGUGGAGGUGAAAAUUCCUCCUACCCGCGGCAAGACGGAAAGACCCCGUGGACCUUUACUACAGCUUGACACUGCUACUUGGAUAAGAAUGUGCAGGAUAGGUGGGAGGCUUUGAGUAUAUGACGCCAGUUGUAUAUGAGCCAUUGUUGAGAUACCACUCUUUCUUAUUUGGGUAGCUAACCAGCUUGAGUUAUCCUCAAGUGGGACAAUGUCUGGUGGGUAGUUUGACUGGGGCGGUCGCCUCCCAAAUAAUAACGGAGGCUUACAAAGGUUGGCUCAGAACGGUUGGAAAUCGUUCGUAGAGUAUAAAGGUAUAAGCCAGCUUAACUGCAAGACAUACAAGUCAAGCAGAGACGAAAGUCGGUCUUAGUGAUCCGGUGGUUCUGUGUGGAAGGGCCAUCGCUCAAAGGAUAAAAGGUACCCCGGGGAUAACAGGCUGAUCUCCCCCAAGAGCUCACAUCGACGGGGAGGUUUGGCACCUCGAUGUCGGCUCAUCGCAUCCUGGGGCUGGAGCAGGUCCCAAGGGUAUGGCUGUUCGCCAUUUAAAGCGGUACGCGAGCUGGGUUCAGAACGUCGUGAGACAGUUCGGUCCCUAUCUGCCGUGGGCGUAAGAAGAUUGAAGAGAUUUGACCCUAGUACGAGAGGACCGGGUUGAACAAACCACUGGUGUAGCUGUUGUUCUGCCAAGAGCAUCGCAGCGUAGCUAAGUUUGGAAAGGAUAAACGCUGAAAGCAUCUAAGCGUGAAGCCAACUCUAAGAUGAAUCUUCUCUAAGCUCUCUAGAAGACUACUAGUUUGAUAGGCUGGGUGUGUAAUGGAUGAAAGUCCUUUAGCUGACCAGUACUAAUAGAGCGUUUGGCUUAUCUUUAAUAAAGCAU
rnacentral:rRNA from 1 species